AGAGCGAACGCUGGCGGCAGGCCUAACACAUGCAAGUCGAGCGCCCCGCAAGGGGAACGGCAGACGGGAGAGUAACACGUGGGAACGUGCCCUUUGGUUCGGAACAACACAGGGAAACUUGUGCUAAUACCGGAUAAGCCCUUACGGGGAAAGAUUUAUUGCCAAAGGAUCGGCCCGCGUCUGAUUAGCUUGUUGGUGAGGUAACGGCUCACCAAGGCUACGAUCAGUAGCUGGUCUGAGAGGAUGAUCAGCCACAUUGGGACUGAGACACGGCCCAAACUCCUACGGGAGGCAGCAGUGGGGAAUAUUGGACAAUGGGCGCAAGCCUGAUCCAGCCAUGCCGCGUGAGUGAUGACGGCCUUAGGGUUGUAAAGCUCUUUCGCUAGGGACGAUAAUGACGGUACCUAGACAAGAAGCCCCGGCUAACUUCGUGCCAGCAGCCGC
rnacentral:rRNA from 1 species